GUGGGGAAUUUUGGACAAUGGGCGCAAGCCUGAUCCAGCCAUGCCGCGUGAGUGAAGAAGGCCUUCGGGUUGUAAAGCUCUUUCGGUCGGGAAGAAAUAGUUAUGGCUAAUAUCCAUAAUGAAUGACGGUACCGACAUAAGAAGCACCGGCUAACUACGUGCCAGCAGCCGCGGUAAUACGUAGGGUGCAAGCGUUAAUCGGAAUUAUUGGGCGUAAAGGGUGCGCAGGCGGAUGUAUAAGUCAGAUGUGAAAUCCCUGGGCUUAACCUAGGAAUUGCGUUUGAAACUAUAUGACUAGAGUGUGAUAGAGGGGAGUGGAAUUCCAUGUGUAGCAGUGAAAUGCGUAGAGAUGUGGAAGAACACCGAUGGCGAAGGCAGCUCCCUGGAUUAACACUGACGCUCAUGCACGAAAGCGUGGGGAGCAAACAGG
rnacentral:rRNA from 1 species